GGGCAUUGUGGAGGUCACUUUUAAAGGGGCGUGCACUGUGAAGGUCACUGUUAAAGGGGUGGUCACUGUUAAAAGGGCAGGCACUGUGGAGGUCACUAUUAAAGGGGUGGGCACUGUUAAAAAGUCAGGCAUUGUGGAGGUCACUGUUAAAGGGGCGGGCACUGUGG